rnacentral:rRNA from 1 species
CCUACGGGUGGCAGCAGUGGGGAAUAUUGGACAAUGGGCGAAAGCCUGAUCCAGCCAUGCCGCGUAUGUGAAGAAGGCCUUCGGGUUGUAAAGCACUUUCAGUGGGGAAGAAAGCCUUGGGGCUAAUACCCUCGAGGAAGGACAUCACCCACAGAAGAAGCACCGGCUAACUCCGUGCCAGCAGCCGCGGUAAUACGGAGGGUGCGAGCGUUAAUCGGAAUUACUGGGCGUAAAGCGCGCGUAGGCGGUCUGAUAAGCCGGUUGUGAAAGCCCCGGGCUCAACCUGGGAACGGCAUCCGGAACUGUCAGGCUAGAGUGCAGGAGAGGAAGGUAGAAUUCCCGGUGUAGCGGUGAAAUGCGUAGAGAUCGGGAGGAAUACCAGUGGCGAAGGCGGCCUUCUGGACUGACACUGACGCUGAGGUGCGAAAGCGUGGGUAGCAAACAGGAUUAGAUACCCGGGUAGUC